GAUGAACGCUGACAGAAUGCUUAACACAUGCAAGUCUACCAAGAAUCACUUCGGUGAGGAAUGGUGGCGGACGGGUGAGUAACGCGUAAAUAAUCUGCCCUUUAGACUGGGAUAUCCUUUGGAAACGAAGGUUAAUACCGGAUAUUAUGAGAUGGACGCAUGUUCAACUUAUGAAAGCUAAAUGCACUAGAGGAGGAGUUUGCGUCCCAUUAGCUAGUUGGUGAGGUAAAGGCUCACCAAGGCCACGAUGGGUAGCCGGCCUGAGAGGGUGAACGGCCACAAGGGAAAUGAGACACGGUCCUUACUCCUACGGGAGGCAGCAGUGGGGAAUAUUGGACAAUGGACCAAAAGUCUGAUCCAGCAAUUCUGUGUGCACGAUGAAGGUCUUCGGAUUGUAAAGUGCUUUCAGUAGGGAAGAAAAAAAUGACGGUACCUACAGAAGAAGCGACGGCUAAAUAUGUGCCAGCAGCCGCCGUAACAC
rnacentral:rRNA from 1 species